UCACAGUUUGCACUGGCAGUCUUGCUAGAGUUCCCGACAUUACUCGCUGGCAACUAAGGGCAAGGGUUGCGCUCGUUACGGGACUUAACCCAACAUCUCACGACACGAGCUGACGACAGCCAUGCAGCACCUGUCUCAGAGUUCCCGAAGGCACCAAUCCAUCUCUGGAAAGUUCUCUGGAUGUCAAGACCUGGUAAGGUUCUUCGCGUUGCGUCGAAUUAAACCACAUGCUCCACCGCUUGUGCGGGCCCCCGUCAAUUCAUUUGAGUUUUAAUCUUGCGACCGUACUCCCCAGGCGGUCUACUUAGUGCGUUAGCUGCGCCACUAAAGCCUCAAGGACUCCAACGGCUAGUAGACAUCGUUUACGGCGUGGACUAC
rnacentral:misc_RNA from 1 species